CGCAGCCGCGGUAAUUCCAGCUCCAAUAGCGUAUAUUAAAGUUGCUGCAGUUAAAAAGCUCGUAGUUGAAUUUCGGGACUAAUAUGUCGGUCGUGCCUCGGUACGUACUGGCUUAUUGGUUUCUCCUUUCUGAAGAACCAUGAUGUCAUUUAUUUGGUGUCGUGGGGAAUCAGGACUGUUACUUUGAAAAAAUUAGAGUGUUUAAAGCAGGCUCACGCUUGAAUACAUUAGCAUGGAAUAACGAAAUAGGACGUUUGAUUCUAUUUUGUUGGUUUCUAGGAUCGACGUAAUGAUUAAUAGGGAUAGUUGGGGGGCAUUAGUAUUCAAUUGUCAGAGGUGAAAUUCUUGGAUUUAUUGAAGACUAACUACUGCGAAAGCAUUUGCCAAGGAUGUUUUCAUUAAUCAAGAACGAAAGUUAGGGAUCGAAGACGAUCAGAUACCGUCGUAGUCUUAACCAUAAACUAUGCCGACUAGGGAUCGGAUGAUGUUAAUUUUUUAAUGUACUCAUUCGGCGCCUUAC
rnacentral:misc_RNA from 1 species